GUGGGUUUAGCUCAGUGGUAGAGCAUCCGGUUGCAGCCCGGAGGUCGGGGGUUCGAUUCUUCCAUCUCACU
rnacentral:tRNA from 1 species